rnacentral:rRNA from 1 species
UACGGAGGAUCCGAGCGUUAUCCGGAUUUAUUGGGUUUAAAGGGAGCGUAGGCGGAUUGUUAAGUCAGUUGUGAAAGUUUGCGGCUCAACCGUAAAAUUGCAGUUGAAACUGGCAGUCUUGAGUACAGUAGAGGUGGGCGGAAUUCGUGGUGUAGCGGUGAAAUGCUUAGAUAUCACGAAGAACUCCGAUUGCGAAGGCAGCUCACUAGACUGCAACUGACACUGAUGCUCGAAAGUGUGGGUAUCAAACAGG